rnacentral:rRNA from 1 species
UGGGUAGUCCGCACGAGCGCAACCCUUUGNUCCUUAGUUGCCAGGCAUUUAGUUUGGGCACUCUNCCGNUACUGCCGGUGACAAACCGGAGGAAGGUGGGGACGACCCCAAGUCAUCAUGGCCCUUACGUGUAGGGCUACACACGUGCUACAAUGGCAUUUACAGAGGGAAGCGAGACAGUGAUGUGGAGCGGACCCCUUAAAGAAUGUCGUAGUCCGGAUUGGAGUCUGCAACUCGACUCCAUGAANUCGGAAUCGCUAGUAAUCGCAAGUCAGAAUAUUGCGGUGAAUACGUUCCCGGGCCUUGUACACACCGCCCGUCACACCAUGGGAGUGGGAUGCAAAAGAAGUAGUUAGUUUAACCUUCGGGAGAACGAUUACCACUUUGUGUUUCAUGACUGGGGUGAAGUCGUAACAAGGUAACCCUAGGGGAACCUGGGGUUGGAUCACCUCCUU